rnacentral:rRNA from 1 species
GACGAACGCUGGCGGCGUGCUUAACACAUGCAAGUCGAACGGAAAGGCCUCUUUCGGGGGGUACUCGAGUGGCGAACGGGUGAGUAACACGUGAGUAACCUGCCCUUGACUUUGGGAUAACUUCAGGAAACUGGGGCUAAUACCGGAUAGGAGCUCCUGCUGCAUGGUGGGGGUUGGAAAGUUUCGGCGGUUGGGGAUGGACUCGCGGCUUAUCAGCUUGUUGGUGGGGUAGUGGCUUACCAAGGCUUUGACGGGUAGCCGGCCUGAGAGGGUGACCGGCCACAUUGGGACUGAGAUACGGCACAGACUCCUACGGGAGGCAGCAGGGGGGAAGAUUGAACAAGGGGUGGAAGCCUGAUGCAGCAACGCCGGGUGCGGGAUGACGGCCUUCGGGUUGUAAACCGCUUUCGCUCAUGACGAAGCUUUGUGUGACGGUAGUGGGUAAAGAAGCACCGGCUAACUACGUG